GAUGAAGAACGUAGCGAAAUGCGAUAAGUAAUGUGAAUUGCAGAAUUCAGUGAAUCAUCGAAUCUUUGAACGCACAUUGCGCCCGCCAGUAUUCUGGCGGGCAUGCCUGUUCGAGCGUCAUUACAACCCUCAGGCCCCCGGGCCUGGCGUUGGGGAUCGGCGGAAGCCCCCUGUGGGCACACGCCGUCCCUCAAAUACAGUGGCGGUCCCGCCGCAGCUUCCAUUGCGUAGUAGCUAACACCUCGCAACUGGAGAGCGGCGCGGCCAUGCCGUAAAACACCCAACUUCUGAAUGUUGACCUCGAAUCAGGUAGGAAUACCCGCUGAACUUAAGCAUAUCAAAGCGGAGGA
rnacentral:misc_RNA from 1 species